GGUACCUAGUAAACUCGUUUGGUAUGUAACACUAUUGUAGGGGCACGAAAGAAUAAUGAUUGGAAACGAAAUAAACGGUGUCGCCGAAAACAAACGUUUAAAACCGAACAAGACUUGGUUAAAUAUGAGAAAAAAAAAAAAAAAAACGCUAAAUUGCUUGGGCGUCUAUAUUUGACGGGAAUUCUCGUGCGAUAUCGAAUCUAGGCGGGAAAUAUUAC